UUAACCCGGCGUCAUGGGGGUUGGGUCUGUGCGACCCACCACAUUUUAUUUCGCUUGUAGUUCGGUUACUAUGCGUGCGACGUUGCUGCUCUUCUCAAUAGCUGGAGCUGUUGAGUUGUCCUACGCUUCGCAAGCUACACGUUAGUCGUGCCACGGCCGCAGUGGGAGAUACAGGUGCACAAAGUUAAAAAAGGUACUUAGUAAAAAAUGGACCGUGAAGAGGCUGAACGACAGCGUAUUCUGGCAAUUUUACAAGAGUCUGACUCUGAUACUGAGUUGUCAGACCAGGAUGUGUGUGACGAAGAAGAUCACUUGAGUGAGCGUAGUAUUUCAAUUGACACAGAACAGGAUAUCUCAGAGUCUGAUAAUGAUGAUAUUCCACUGUCUAUUCGAUUGCAUAAAAAUCGUUCGCGACAAUAGCAAUUUACAUCCGAAUCGUCUAGUUCUUCAAACGUAAAUCGUGAGAAUUCUUCGGACUUUUAUCAUGGCAAAGACGGAACAAAGUGGAAUAACAGGCUUUUUCGACAGACUGUCAGAACCAGAACAUUUAAGUAGAAGAGAAAAUGUUUGUUGAUAAUUUUAGUUCUUUUUUUAAAAUUUUAUUAUAUAUAAUUAAAACAUAAUAUAACAUAA